GGGAGACACACGGCGGGUGCUAACGUCCGUCGUGAAGAGGGAAACAACCCAGACCGCCAGCUAAGGUCCCAAAGUCAUGGUUAAGUGGGAAACGAUGUGGGAAGGCCCAGACAGCCAGGAUGUUGGCUUAGAAGCAGCCAUCAUUUAAAGAAAGCGUAAUAGCUCACUGGUCGAGUCGGCCUGCGCGGAAGAUGUAACGGGGCUAAACCAUGCACCGAAGCUGCGGCAGCGACGCUGAUGCGUUGUUGGGUAGGGGAGCGUUCUGUAAGCCUGCGAAGGUGUGCUGUGAGGCAUGCUGGAGGUAUCAGAAGUGCGAAUGCUGACAUAAGUAACGAUAAAGCGGGUGAAAAGCCCGCUCGCCGGAAGACCAAGGGUUCCUGUCCAACGUUAAUCGGGGCAGGGUGAGUCGACCCCUAAGGCGAGGCCGAAAGGCGUAGUCGAUGGGAAACAGGUUAAUAUUCCUGUACUUGGUGUUACUGCGAAGGGGGGACGGAGAAGGCUAUGUUGGCCGGGCGACGGUUGUCCCGGUUUAAGCGUGUAGGCUGGUUUUCCAGGCAAAUCCGGAAAAUCAAGGCUGAGGCGUGAUGACGAGGCACUACGGUGCUGAAGCAACAAAUGCCCUGCUUCCAGGAAAAGCCUCUAAGCAUCAGGUAACAUCAAAUCGUACCCCAAACCGACACAGGUGGUCAGGUAGAGAAUACCAAGGCGCUUGAGAGAACUCGGGUGAAGGAACUAGGCAAAAUGGUGCCGUAACUUCGGGAGAAGGCACGCUGAUAUGUAGGUGAAGUCCCUUGCGGAUGGAGCUGAAAUCAGUCGAAGAUACCAGCUGGCUGCAACUGUUUAUUAAAAACACAGCACUGUGCAAACACGAAAGUGGACGUAUACGGUGUGACGCCUGCCCGGUGCCGGAAGGUUAAUUGAUGGGGUCAGCGCAAGCGAAGCUCUUGAUCGAAGCCCCGGUAAACGGCGGCCGUAACUAUAACGGUCCUAAGGUAGCGAAAUUCCUUGUCGGGUAAGUUCCGACCUGCACGAAUGGCGUAAUGAUGGCCAGGCUGUCUCCACCCGAGACUCAGUGAAAUUGAACUCGCUGUGAAGAUGCAGUGUACCCGCGGCAAGACGGAAAGACCCCGUGAACCUUUACUAUAGCUUGACACUGAACAUUGAGCCUUGAUGUGUAGGAUAGGUGGGAGGCUUGGAAGUGUGGACGCCAGUCUGCAUGGAGCCGACCUUGAAAUACCACCCUUUAAUGUUUGAUGUUCUAACGUUGACCCGUAAUCCGGGUUGCGGACAGUGUCUGGUGGGUAGUUUGACUGGGGCGGUCUCCUCCUAAAGAGUAACGGAGGAGCACGAAGGUUGGCUAAUCCUGGUCGGACAUCAGGAGGUUAGUGCAAUGGCAUAAGCCAGCUUGACUGCGAGCGUGACGGCGCGAGCAGGUGCGAAAGCAGGUCAUAGUGAUCCGGUGGUUCUGAAUGGAAGGGCCAUCGCUCAACGGAUAAAAGGUACUCCGGGGAUAACAGGCUGAUACCGCCCAAGAGUUCAUAUCGACGGCGGUGUUUGGCACCUCGAUGUCGGCUCAUCACAUCCUGGGGCUGAAGUAGGUCCCAAGGGUAUGGCUGUUCGCCAUUUAAAGUGGUACGCGAGCUGGGUUUAGAACGUCGUGAGACAGUUCGGUCCCUAUCUGCCGUGGGCGCUGGAGAACUGAGGGGGGCUGCUCCUAGUACGAGAGGACCGGAGUGGACGCAUCACUGGUGUUCGGGUUGUCAUGCCAAUGGCACUGCCCGGUAGCUAAAUGCGGAAGAGAUAAGUGCUGAAAGCAUCUAAGCACGAAACUUGCCCCGAGAUGAGUUCUCCCUGACUCCUUGAGAGUCCUGAAGGAACGUUGAAGACGACGACGUUGAUAGGCCGGGUGUGUAAGCGCAGCGAUGCGUUGAGCUAACCGGUACUAAUGAACCGUGAGG
rnacentral:rRNA from 1 species